GCUUGUGGUGUUGUGUGGUUGUACUGUUACAAGAUUGUGUUGUGUGGUGGUGGUGUUGCGUGGUUGUGUUGCGCAGUUGUGUCGUUGCGCAGUUGUGUCGUUGCGUGGUUGCGUGGUUGCGUGGUUGCGUGGUUGUGUGGUUGUGUCGUUGCGCGGUUGUGUCGUUGCGUGGUUGUGUCGUUGCGUGGUUGUGUUGUGUGGUUGUGGUGUUGUGUGGUUGUGGUGUUGUGUAGUUGUGUNNNNNNNNNNNNNNNNNNNNNNNNNNNNNNNNNNNNNNNNNNNNNNNNNNNNNNNNNNNNNNNNNNNNNNNNNNNNNNNNNNNNNNNNNUGCGUGGUUGUGUCAUUGCAUGGUUGUGUCAUUGUGCGGUUGUGUCGUUGUGUGGUUCCGUGGUUGUGUCAUUGUGUGGUUGUGUUGUUGGGCGGUUGUGUGGUUGGGCGGUUUUGUGGUUGUGUCGUUGCGCGGUUGUGCGGUUGUGCUGUUGCGUGGUUGUGUUGUUGUGUGGUUGUGUGACUGUGUCGUUGUGCGGUUGUGUCGUUGUGUGGUUGUGUCGUGCGGUUGUGUGGUUGCGUGGUUGUGUCGUUGCGUGGUUGUGUCAUUGCGUGGUUGCAUGGUUGUGUCGUUGCGUGGUUGUGUUGUGUGGUUGUGGUGUUGUGUGGUUGUGGUGUUGUGUAGUUGUGUUGUUGUGUGGUUGUGCGGUUGUGCAGUUGUGUGGUUGUGUCGUUGCGCGGUUGUGUUGUUGUGUGGUAUGUCUGCGUGGUCUGGUUGUGUCGUUGCGUGGUUGUGUUGUUGCGUGGUUGUGUCAUUGCAUGGUUGUGUCAUUGUGCGGUUGUGUCGUUGUGUGGUUCCGUGGUUGUGUCGUUGUGUGGUUGUGUUGUUGGGCGGUUGUGUGGUUGGGCGGUUUUGUGGUUGUGUCGUUGCGCGGUUGUGUGGUUGCGUGGUUGUGUGGUUGUGUUGCUGUGUGGUUGUGUGACUGUGUCGUUGUGCGGUUGUGUCAUUGUGUGGUUGUGUCGUGCGGUUGUGUGGUUGUGCAGUUGUGUCGUUGCGUGGUUGUGUCAUUGCGUGGUUGCAUAGUUGUGUCGUUCCGUGGUUGCGUGGUUGUGUCAUUGUGUGGUUGUGUCAUUGCGUGGUUGCAUGGUUGUGUUGUUGCGUGGUUGCGUGGUUGCGUGGUUGUGUCGUUGCGUGGUUGUGUCGUUGCGCGGUUGUGUCGUUGUGUCGUUGCGCGGUUGUGUUGUUGCGUGUUUGGGUUGUGUGGUUGUGCGGUUGUGUGGUUGUGUCGUUAUGCAGUUGUGUCAUUGCAUGGUCGUGUUGUGCGGUUGUGGUGUUGUGCGGUUGUGUGGUUGCGUGGCUGCAUGGUUGUGUCGUUGUGGUUGUGUCGUGCGGUUGUGCAGUUGUGCAGUUGUGUGGUUGUGUCGUUGCGCGGUUGUGUUGUUGUGGGGUUGUGUUAUUGUGUGGUAUGUCUGUGUAGUCUGGUUGCGCGGUUGUGUCGUAGUGUGGUUGUGUUGUGCGGUUGUGCGGUUGUGUCGUUGCGAGGUUGUGUCGUUGCGUUGUUGCAUGGUUGUGACGUUGCGUGAUUGCGCGGUUGUGUCGUUGCGCGGUUGUGUCGUGGCGUGGUUGUGUUGUUGCAUGGUUGCGCGGUUGUGUUGUUGCGUGGUUGUGUGGUUGGGUGGUUGUGUCGUUGCGCGGUUGUGCGGUUGUGUUGUUGCAGGGUUGUGUCGUUGCGCGGUUGUGUUGUUGUGGGGUUGUGUUAUUGUGUGGUAUGUCUGUGUAGUCUGGUUGCGCGGUUGUGUCGUUGCGUGGUUGUGUGGUUGUGCAGUUGUGUGGUUGUGCGGUGAUGUUGUUGUGCGGUUGUGUGACUGUGUCGUUGUGUGGUUGUGUCGUUGCGUGGUUGCAUGGUUGUGUCGUUGCGU
rnacentral:lncRNA from 1 species